rnacentral:rRNA from 1 species
UACGAAGGGGGCUAGCGUUGCUCGGAAUCACUGGGCGUAAAGGGUGCGUAGGCGGGUUUUUAAGUCAGAGGUGAAAUCCUGGAGCUCAACUCCAGAACUGCCUUUGAUACUGAAAGUCUUGAGUAUGGGAGAGGUGAGUGGAACUGCGAGUGUAGAGGUGAAAUUCGUAGAUAUUCGCAAGAACACCAGUGGCGAAGGCGGCUCACUGGCCCAUAACUGACGCUGAGGCACGAAGGCGUGGGGAGCGAACGGG